rnacentral:rRNA from 1 species
GACGAACGCUGGCGGCGUGCUUAACACAUGCAAGUCGAACGGAAAGGCCCUGCUUUUGCGGGGUGCUUGAGUGGCGAACGGGUGAGUAACACGCGAGUAACAUGCCCUUGACUUUGGGAUAAAUUCAGGAAACUGGGGAUAAUAUCGGAUAGGAGCUCCUGCUGCAUGGUGGGGGUUGGAAAGAUUCGGCGGUUGGGGAUGGAAUAGCGGCUUAUCAGCUUGUUGGUGGAGUAGUGGCUUACCAAGGCUAUGACGGAUAGCCGGCCUGAGAGGGGGACCGGCCACAUUGGGACUGAGGUACGGCCCAGACUCCUACGGGAGGCAGCAGUGGGAAAUAUUGCACAGUGGGCGGAAGCCUGAUGCAGCAACGCCGCGUGCGUAAUGACGGCCUUCGAGUUGUAAACCUCUUUCUCCGGUGACGAAGCGUGAGUGACGGUAAUGAGUAAGGAAGCACCGGCUAACUACGUG